UCGAGAAUCAUUCGCAAUGGGCGAAAGCCUGACGAUGCGACGCUGUGUGAGUGAAGAAGGCCUUCGGGUCGUAAAGCUCUUUCGCCUGGGAACAAGAGAAGCUAGCUAACAUCUAGCUAAUUUGAGGGUACCAGGAUAAGAAGCACCGGCUAACUCCGUGCCAGCAGCUGCGGUAAUACGGAGGGUGCAAGCAUUAAUCGGAUUUAUUGGGCGUAAAGGGCGCGUAGGCGGGAAUGAAAGUCAGAUGUGAAAUCCCAGAGCUCAACUCUGGAACGGCAUUUGAAACUCCAUUUCUUGAGGGUAGGCGGAGAAAAUAGAAUUCCACAAGUAGCGGUGAAAUGCGUAGAUAUGUGGAAGAAUACCGGUGGCGAAGGCGGUUUUCUAGCUUAUUCCUGACGCUGAGGCGCGAAAGCAAGGGGAUCAAACA
rnacentral:rRNA from 1 species